rnacentral:rRNA from 1 species
UACGAGAGGUGCAAACGUUAUUCGGAAUUACUGGGCGUAAAGGGUACGUAGACGGCAUGAUAAGUCAACUGUUCAAUUUUCCGGCCUAACCGGAAGUCAGCGGUAGAUACUGUUGUGCUUGAGGAUGGAAGAGAGAAGUGGAAUUCUCGGAGUAGCGGUAAAAUGCGUAGAUCUCGAGAGGAACACCGAUGGCGAAGGCAGCUUCUUGGUCCAUUUCUGACGUUGAGGUACGAAAGCGUGGGGAGUAAACAGG